UUCUAAUCCCUUCUUAGCAUGCACCAUAUACAAAGUGGGACUUUUAAGGUAAGAGGAAAAGCAGGAAUAUUUUAAGAACUGCUGAGUCCCUUGGUAAGCUACUUUCCAAGGAGGUUACCCACCAGCUUUCUGUGAGAUUUUGAUCUUGUUCUCUUGAAUUGAAGAGAGUCCUGUGGUCUUCAGUAGACUAGACAAUAUUGAAUGCCAAGUUUUUACUAGUUUGUCAAGUAUCUCAUUGCUGUUCACUAUCUGCAAUGUUCCUUGGGUUACUGUGAAAGGCCUGGACACCUUUUGUAUUACAAAUUCAACAGAUUUGUGGUAUUUUGUGUACCUACAAGAAUAUGGAGAAGUAAUUGAUUUUGCACAAUAACAUUUGCCUAUGACUAGAGGAAAUUAAGCAAAAUGGAGUCUUGUCUUGUGUAUUCCAGUAGGUACAACUGAAUCCUUGAAAACUUCUAUGUCAGUGAAAUUAAUUUUGUGGGAUCUGUAACUAUAGCUGCUAAGAGUUACAACUGUACAACUGUAGUAAGGAGAAAAGUAAUCAUUUUAUGAUGUCGUUUCUUAAAUAUAAGAGUGAGAUAUUUUAAUGCAGUCCAGAAAGAUGCACCAACCUACAGCAGCCAGUGAGACAUCAGCUCCACCUACAGCAAAGGCUGUUCCAUAGCUCUCACAGAAACACAACAAACAGGUCCAAAACAUUGGCACUUGCAGUAGUUCCUCUUGCUCAGGAAGAUUACCUUACCGCAAGGAGAUACAAAGAAGCAGUGGAUUAAAGAGGCCUGCAGGGAAUUACUGAGUCCUAUGCAACUUCAUACAGAGGAAUUUUUAACAAUAGAGGCAAAUAACUAUUAGAAAGUACUUUAUUAUGGAAAAUAUGAAAACCGAAUUGACGUAUCUUCUUCCUGAAGCAAUCAGGAUUUUUCAUAUUUCUAUUAUGAACUGAAAACAAGACGUGCAGCCUGCCCAGAAGCAUCCUGAGCCUCAAAUCCCUUAAUCUCUCAAGUGCGAUCUGUGGUGCCAGCUAUGCUGGGGAGGGUAGGAAAUUUCCCAUAAAAGAUUCCCAAUGUCAAUUAAAAAUUCUGCAUUUGCUUCUUAGUUUAUCUGAAACUGAAGAAGGUGGCUCUCUCUUGCAGUCAAAACAUGUCAUAUGCAUAUUCUCACACAGAAAGCAGUGGAGGUUCUGAAGCCUAUCUUAGAGUGUGUUUGAUUUCCUGGCUGCCUUAUUUGUUUACAACAAUGCUCUUAAAAUUGUCUCUACCAUCUGUGUGGUUUCUAGUUGUUUGAAUGAGAAUGAGAUAUUAAAAUGCCAUCCAGAUGUCUCGUUGCAUAUCAGCAUUAACAUAUUAUGCAAAUUGUCACAAGGAUAGGUUUUUUUUCUUCUUAAACAAAACAAUAUUUUUAGAUGGAAUGGAGAGAAAUAAAUCUGUGAAGGAUGACAAGGGAAAAAAUGCGCUGAGCAUAUUCAGCUGAACUUUUCAAUCAUUUUUUAUGAAAGGGUUAGGUACAAAGUGUCCUUAGUUUUUUUUACCAUAAAUCUGUAGAAGAACAAUUGGGUGAAAACACGAUAAUAAACCAACAAAGUACCUCUAAACCCAAAUAUCUCAGAAAAUGAAUUCAACAAAGUGAAAUACAAAACUUGCCUCUGUAUAUUUAUCUCACAAGAACAGGACUUUGCGAAGAAUGAUAGCAGUUGUCUGCUGGCUACUAAGCAUCCAAUUUAAAGAAACCUUUGUUUCUUAUUCUGCAGAUAUUUACAUUUGGAGACAGAAUCAACAGUGCAAGGCCAGACCUGUGCCCUCAUUGCUCUCAAAAAUAAAAAGAGAUGUCUGGAAAUUAAAGCAAGUGUCUGAGAUUAUACUGUUUUCUUGCAUCUUGACUCUUACAGCUAAGGACAAACGUGAUGCUGUUGCCUGUGUUUUCCUUAGAACCACAGAAUGGCUUGAGUUGGAAGGGACCUCAGUCAUUAUCCAGUUCCACUCCUACACCAUGGGCAGGGUUGCCAACUUACUCAGGCAUCUUUAUGGGCACAGAGCAGCAUAUGCCUCUGCCCUUCACAAUGACUUUCUUCAAGCACUUGAUGAAGACAUAUACCAUUCUGAACCACAUUUGAGGGUGUUUCCAACUAAGCUUGGUGAGGGAUGAAGCUAUAAGGACUCAUUGCCAAGAAAUGCUAGUGGAUACACACCUUCACCCCUCUUGCAGAGAACUAUUGAUGGGCUCACGUGGCUGAGAUAUUUAUGAAGAAACUUCUUGUACAAGACCUUGUCCCUGACGAGCUUUUAAUGAUGAGGAAGCGACUCAACAAUCGAUGCUCAAGAGGUUGAAAUAAGAAAGCCACUCCGGCCACAUAGGAACCAUUGCAGAACUCCAGGGAUGCUUCAUUGCAGCAUGACAAAAGUUAGGAGCGAUGCUGUGGAGCGAUGGGGCUCUGUGGAGGAACAAAGCAAGAAUUCCUGUGCUCACUGCUGUAUUCUCCUUCAACACACACUGAAAAAUAAUAGUGGAAAUAAAAAGAAUAAACCAUUUUGGCGCUGAUAUUAUUUACCUUGCUUUAACAUAACACUUAAGACAGUGCUGCAAGUAAAACCUGGCCAGUCUGCAUUGCACCCUGAGCACCUGCAAAAGCUGGAGAUGGCAAAAAGCUCCAUGGAGAUAAACCACUGCGGAGGAACACACUGCACUUCGGACAGCAAGGAAGUGCCAAUGCUGCCAGCACCUCUGCGUGGGGACUCCUGAAAGUCACACUGCAUUACUGCUUCAGUGUGAAAACUCAAUUGCUUAUCCUUUAUGGGAGAUAAUCUUUGAAUGUAGCAGUGUACCGCAUUAACCCCAUUUGUCCACAAGACAGUCAACGUGUUUAUAAAUCCUGUCUAUCUGGGGGGCUACAGUUGGGUGACAUCCUCUUUCUGCACUAUGGAGUCCUUGUAAAACAGGCUUAAUAUAGCAAUAAACCUGUUUAUUUUUGUUACGGUUCUUCCAUCACUCUCUUACUGCUUCUGUUUUCUUUUUGAAAGCACUCGAUUGUACCAUUCUCUGUCUGUUUUCAGCACCAUAAAAUGAAAUUCACCUCAUUGAUCAAACGAUGACCUCUAUCCAGUGCCUCUUAGAUUAGAGAUAACAGCAGGCUGCUGUCUAACUGAGAAAUAAUUCCUUCAGCUCCUUCAGCUCUCUUUAUUAUGAUUGCUUCCUAAAAUAUCACUUAAAACUGGGAUGGAAACAAAUGAGAAUGUCUUCUCUCAAUGUUUGCGUUUUGACUCACCAAUACACACACACACACACUGCGGUGUGCAUUGUUCUAGAAUAAUUCAUUCAUUUUUCCCCUAGAAGAUGAAGAAAACGUUUAACUGCACAUAACUGAAGGAAGAAAGGAGCAAAAGCGGAUUGACAUAAUGCCUACCUUUUGCCGGAAAGACUUUGUGCUUUAAAACAGGAAAAAAUGGUAGCGGUACAUUCGUGUGAAACUCAAAUUGUGCUACUCAGGAACAGGUUUUUAAAUAUCAGCAUUAAAGAUCGCAUUAGAAUACAUUAUCACAUUCUGUGCCGUAGCAUGUGUUACGUAUUUGUAACAAGGGAAGCAUGAAAGACUAAUCAUACACGGGGAAUAAUGGCAUGUUUUCAUGGCGAGAUUUGCAAGGCAUUAUCCCAGACAUUCCCUUCUGGUGGGGCAGGAAAAGGGAGAUUCUGUUCUGCAUUAUGCUGCUCAGCAUCUGCUGCUGGAUGGGACGCUGUGAAGGUGUUAGGUCUGUGGUGACAUUUAUCCCCAAAUAGGCAUAAAUGUGUGCAUUAUUUCAGCUAUUUCAGGUCUAUUGAUGAGCUGCAGGAGAUCACAGAAUCAUGGAAUCGUUAAGGUUGGCAAAGACCACUGAGAUCCUCAAGUCCAACCCCAACCCAUCCCCACCAUGCCCACUGACCAUGUCCCUCAGUGCCACAUCAGUUCUGGAGCACCUCCAGGGACAGAGACUGCUCCCCAUGCCCUGGGCCCUACCACCCUGGCUAAGCAGUGGAAUUUCAAGGGGACUUGUCUGCCUUCAUGAAGCCUCUCAGCUUCAGCCUGACUGCCCUUCAGUUCUCCAUACUGAAUAAUGCAUUUUUUUCAGGAAUGAAACGAACCUUUUCCCCCAACAAAACAUUGAGUGCCUCAGACACUGGAAUGGGUUUUUGACAGCUGAUCUUAUUUCAUCAAGUAAUAUGUCAUCAAAGCAACACAAUUCUAAUAGUGUCUUACACCAGUACAGAUGACAUGUUACACAAAUGUACUGACCCAGCAAUGCUGGCUCGAUGACUCCUUUGCACUAACAUAAGUUACCCAGCAGAUGCCUUUUCCAGCAUAUUGGGAUUUUCCUGCUUUGUUAAAGACAGAUAAUAGGGAGAAAAUUAUUUUCUUUGUGGCUGUAGUGUGUACCACUGCCUCUUCCAGGUGAUGCAAAUAAGCUGUGACUGAAGUAGUCUGAGAGGGAGUGUUAUGAGGUUAAGAAACUUAACGCUGCCUUUCUUGCUUUAACCAAGGGGACAGACCACUCUUCAGAAUUCUGUCCCAUUAGACAAAAGACAGACUUUAGAGUCUGCACUAAGAUAUCUGCCAUGGACUCUAUGUUCUCCAGUGGCCAAUUGUGAAGUCUAAACAGAAAUUGCCACACCCAGGCUUGAAAACUCGAGUGUGCUCCCAAGAGAAAAGUGCAGCAAUUUCUCAAGGCCUAUCUAUCACAGAGCUAUGGAAUAAAGACAGCCUGAACAGCCCCUAGCUGGGAAAAUUAUCAUUUGGGAAUCAUCUCCGUGUUCUUGAGAAGAAAGUCCUUGGGGCACAGAAUCUCCUCUGAGUACGCUUGGUCCUUGACACUGUACUGAAAUAACACAAGCAUUACUAAUUCUGAAAACUUGUUCUGCACGAAACUAUCUGCAUGCUCCAAAUUUCCCUGUAUCAUGCACUGUCCCCUUUAAAAACCAACCAACCAACCAAAUAAAACAAAAAACAACAAAGGACAAGUCAUAAUAGCCCCAUUGUUCUUCCAUAGGUGCAAGGAACUAAAGUUUCAGAUGGUCACAGUUUUGGGGUAAUACCAGAUAUCCCUCACUGCACGGCACACAUUGCAAUGAGAACCUGCCAGUGCUUCAGACAACUCGAUCCAUUCUGGGAUUUUCAAAACUAGUAAAAGCACACAGAGAGGUUGACAGAUACAUUUGCUGUGUAAUAUUGGCUCUGCAAUGCUAAUAUUGGCUGUUGCCUGACAUUCUAUAUAGCAACAUUUAUAUAACCAAAGUCCCUAUCAUUUCUAAGUUAUCUGAUGCACCAUGAAAUUUCAAGGCAGUGAUUCCAUUUUCUUUGCUGAUCAACUUAAAGCUCAUGAUGAAUCAAGUAAUAUCAAAGAAGAUAAAUUAUGCAGCUGUUUAUUUACAGUUUAC
ensembl:lncRNA